rnacentral:rRNA from 1 species
AAACCGCUUAGGGGUUAAGCCCGAUGAACCUGAAUAUCUGAAUUGGGAAAUUCAAUACUAUUUUAGUUGCUUAUUUAAUCAUAAGUAAUCGAUGGUAUGCACUUUUCCCAUAGUAGGACAUUGCGAUCCAUUAGUAGUCUUUUUAAGACGGCUUAUCAUAAGGCCCGUAUAGUUAGCUUAUUCAAUUUAUAAUUUUAUUAUUAUAAUGAAUAAUACUAUGUUGGUGUCCUGAUAAGCAGCUGAUGGAGCUUAACAAUCAUGCAACCAUGCAAAUGUAUCACGGUUUAUAUAAAUUAUUUAUGUAAAUGCAGUGAUCGCAUGUAUUUGAUUAGCAAUGCGAUAGAUUUGGGAUACCUUCGGGACCCGUCUUGAAACACGGACCAAGAAGUCUAACAUGUGUGUAAGUCAUUGGGUAUCUUGUUGAAACCUAAAGGCGAAAUUAAAAUAACUAUUUUAAUGGGAUUACAAGCAAUUUUAACUAAUUGUUUCUCCAUCCCGGGGCGUUCCAUAUGAACAUGGUUGAAGCAAUUUGACCCUCUGUUCUGGAGCGUACCUUGAACAUACAUGCUGUGACCCGAAAGAUGGUGAACUAUACCUGAUCAGGUUGAAGUCAGGGGAAACCCUGAUGGAGGACUGAAGCAGUUCUGACGUGCAAAUCGAUUGUCAGAAUUGGGUAUAGGGGCGAAAGACCAAUCGAACCAUCUAGUAGCUGGUUCCCUCCGAAGUUUCCCUCAGGAUAGCUGGCGCAAUUAAAAAUCUAAUAUAUAAUCUUAUCUGGUAAAGCGAAUGAUUAGAGGCCUUGGGGCCGAAACGACCUCAACCUAUUCUCAAACUUUAAAUGGGUAAGAACCUCAUCUUUCUUGAUCUGAAGAUUUAGAGGUUUAGAUAUAUUGUGCCCAGUGGGCCACUUUUGGUAAGCAGAACUGGCGCUGUGGGAUGAACCAAACGUGAUGUUACGGCGCCUAAAUUAAUGACUCAUAUUGAUACCAUGAAAGGCGUUGGUUGCUUAAAACAGCAGGACGGUGGACAUGGAAGUCGUAAUCCGCUAAGGAGUGUGUAACAACUCACCUGCCGAAGCAACUAGCCCUUAAAAUGGAUGGCGCUCAAGUCAUAUGCCUAUACAUCACCGCUAAAAUAGAAAGAUUUUAUUGUAAAAUAAAAUUUAUUAAAUUUUAGUGAGUAGGAGGGUACAAUGGUGUGCGCAGAAGUGUUUGGCGUGAGCCUGCAUGGAGCCGCCAUUGGCACAGAUCUUGGUGGUAGUAGCAAAUAAUCGAAUGAGAUCUUGGAGGACUGAAGUGGAGAAGGGUUUCGUGUGAACAGUGGUUGAUCACGAGUUAGUCGGUCCUAAGCUCUAUGCGAAAGCUGUUUAAUUUAUGUU